rnacentral:rRNA from 1 species
CAAAACAUAGGAGGUCUUACCUGCCCAGUGACUACAAGUUCAACGGCCGCGGUAUUUUGACCGUGCAAAGGUAGCGCAAUCACUUGUCUUUUAAAUAAAGACUUGUAUGAACGGUAGAACGAAGACUUAGCUGUCUCCCCUUUCAAGUCAAUGAAAUUGAUCUAUCCGUGCAGAAGCGGGUAUAAAUAUACAAGACGAGAAGACCCUUUGGAGCUUAAGAUAAAAACCAACUAUAUCUUUGGUUGGGGCGACUACGGGAAAAAAUAAAACUCCCACGCAGACUGGUAAAAAAACUAAGAAAAACACCUCCAAGUCACAGAAUAUCUGACCACUAGCCGAAUAACGAACCAAGUUACCCUAGGGAUAACAGCGCAAUCCUCUUCCAGAGCCCAUAUCGACAAGAGGGUUUACGACCUCGAUGUUGGAUCAGGACACCCUAAUGGUGAAGCCGCUAUUA